rnacentral:rRNA from 1 species
UAUUAUUCUUAAAUAGAUAAAACCCUAGGUUAGUAAUAGAUAUUUACUUAAAAGCUAAAAAAUUUGGCGGUAAUUAAAUCUUUUCAGAGGAACUUGUUUUUUAAUCGAUAACCCCCGAAAUAUCUUGCUUAUUUUAGUAAAGUUUGUAUACCAUCAUUAUCAGGUAAUUUUUAAAAAAAUAAUUUCUAAAUAUAAAAGUUUAUAAAAAUUAGAUCAUGGUGCAGCUAAUAAAUAAGUUAAAAUGAGUUACAAUAAAAUAUUUUAUCAUGGAUAGUUAAAGAAAGUAAAACUAGAAGGUGGAUUUGUUAGUAUUUAGAAUUUAAUAUGUUCUAAAGAUUAUAGCUCUUAAUUAUGUACAUAU